GCUGAGGAGAUCCUGAACCAGGAUGGGGUCGAGAAUCAGCCGUCCUGUGGAGAUCCAGGUUACCAACAACACCGAGACCAUCAUCCUGAGAAACCCCAAGUGAGGAUGGGGGGACACCAGAGGGACCCUUGGGGUGCUAGGGGGCAGCUCUGGGUGGGAUUUUCAUGGUGGAAUGGGAUCAUCUCCAGGUUCUGGGAUCAUCUCCAGGUUCUGGGAUCAUCUCCAGGGUUGGGAUCAUCUCCAUGGUUGGGAUCAUCUCCAGGGUUGGGAUCAUAUCCAUGGUUCUGAUCAUCUCCAGGCUCUGGGAUCAUCUCCAUCGUUGGGAUCAUCUCCAGGGCUUGGGAUCAGCUCCAUGGUUGGGAUCAUCUCCAGGCCUUGGGAUCAUCUCCAGGGUUGGGAUCAUCUCCAGGCUCUGGGAUCAUCUCCAUUGUUGGGAUCAUCUCCAAGGGUUGGGAUCAGCUCCAUGGUUGGGAUCAUCUCCAGGGUCUGGGAUCAUCUCCAUGGUUGGGACCAUCUCCAUGGUUGGGAUCAUCUCCAUGGUUGGGAUCAUCUCCAGGCUCUGGGAUCAUCUCCAGGUUUGGGAUCAUCUCCAUGGUUGGGAUCAUCUCCAGGCUCUGGGAUCAUCUCCAGGGUUGGGAUCAUCUCCAUGGUUGGGAUCAUCUCCAGGGUUGGGAUCAUCUCCAGGGUUUGGGAUCAUCUCCAGGGCUGGGAUCAUCUCCAGGAUCUGGGAUCAUGUCCAGGGUUGGGAUCAUCUCCAGGGUUGGGAUCAUCUCCAGGGUUUGGGAUCAUCUCCAUGGUUGGGAUCAUCUCCAGUGUCUGGGAUCAUCUCCAGGGUUGGGAUCAUCUCCAGGCUCUGGGAUCAUCUCCAUGGUUGGGAUCAUCUCCAUGGUUGGGAUCAUCUCCAGGAGUUGGGAUCAUCUCCAGGGCUUGGGAUCAUCUCCAGGCUCUGGGAUCAUCUCCAGGCUCUGGGAUCAUCUCCAUGGUUGGGAUCAUCUCCAGGGCUUGGGAUCAUCUCCAGGCUCUGGGAUCAUCUCCAGGGUUGGGAUCAUCUCCAUGGUUGGGAUCAUCUCCAGGGGUUGGGAUCAUCUCCAGGGUUGGGAUCAUCUCCAGGGGUUGGGAUCAUCUCCAUGGUUGGGAUCAUCUCCAGGUUUGGGAUCAUCUCCAUGGUUGGGAUCAUCUCCAGGGGUUGGGAUCAUCUCCAUGGUCUGGGAUCAUCUCCAGGGUCUGGGAUCAUCUCCAUGGUCUGGGAUCAUCUCCAGUGUUGGGAUCAUCUCCACGGUUGGGAUCAUCUCCAUGGUCUGGGAUCAUCUCCAGGGUUGGGAUCAUCUCCAGGCUCUGGGAUCAUCUCCAGGGUUUGGGAUCAUCUCCAGGGUUGGGAUCAUCUCCAGGGUUGGGAUCAUCUCCAGGGUCUGGGAUCAUCUCCAUGGUUGGGAUCAUCUCCAUGGUUGGGAUCAUCUCCAGGCUCUGGGAUCAUCUCCAGGGUUGGGAUCAUCUCCAUGGUUGGGAUCAUCUCCAGGGUCUGGGAUCAUCUCCAGGCUCUGGGAUCAUCUCCAGGGUUUGGGAUCAUCUCCAGGGUUUGGGAUCAUCUCCAUGGUUGGGAUCAUCUCCAGGCUCUGGGAUCAUCUCCAGGCUCUGGGAUCAUCUCCAUGGUUGGGAUCAUCUCCAGACUUGGGAUCAUCUCCAGGGUCUGGGAUCAUCUCCAGGCUCUGGGAUCAUCUCCAGGGCUUGGGAUCAUCUCCAGGCUCUGGGAUCAUCUCCAUGGUUUGGGAUCAUCUCCAGGCUCUGGGAUCAUCUCCAGGGGUUGGGACCAUCUCCAUGGGUUGGGAUCAUCUCCAGGGCUUGGGAUCAUGUCCAGGGUUGGGAUCAUCUCCAGACUCUGGGAUCAUCUCCAGGUUUGGGAUCAUCUCCAGGUUUGGGAUCAUCUCCAGGCUCUGGGAUCAUCUCCAUGAUUGGGAUCAUCUCCAGGGUUGGGAUCAUCUCCAGGCUCUGGGAUCAUCUCCAUGGGUUGGGAUCAUCUCCAGGCUCUGGGACCAUCUCCACGUCC
ensembl:lncRNA